rnacentral:lncRNA from 1 species
AGAAUGUUGAAUAGAAAAAUUAUAUUAUUUUUGAUUGAAUAGGUAUGAUAUUUAAGAAAACAAAUUUUAGAUUCAAUUCUGUUUAAAUAAGCAAAAAUAAAAUUGAAAUAUCUUGGAAAGUUCAUAUCCCUUUACCUGGUGUGAAGAUUUCAGGAAAAGAUCAACACUGAAUCUAGUUACCUAUCCACAGCUACACUGGAUCUGAAGUAGUUAACUGUAUUAGAUGUUGUCAAGGAUUCUUUGAGAAUUUUUCUCAGUAUCGUGAAUAUGUAAACC